CCUACGGGGAGCAGCAGUGGGGGAUAUUGCACAAUGGGGGAAACCCUGAUGCAGCGACGCCGCGUGGGUGAAGAAGCGCCUCGGCGCGUAAAGCCCUGUCAGCAGGGAAGAAAAUGACGGUACCUGAAGAAGAAGCCCCGGCUAACAACGUGCCAGCAGCAGCGGUAAUAAGUAGGGGGCAAGCGUUAACCGGAUUUACUGGGUGUAAAGGGGGCGUAGACGGCGAUGCAAGCCAGGAGUGAAAGCCCGGGGCCCAACCCCGGGACUGCUCUUGGAACUGCGUGGCUAGAGUGCAGGAGGGGCAGGCGGAAUUCCUGGUGUAGCGGGGAAAUGCGUAGAUAUCAGGAGGAACACCGGUGGCGAAGGCGGCCUGCUGGACUGCAACUGACGUUGAGGCCCGAAAGCGUGGGGAGCAAACAGGAUUAGAUACCCGUGUAGUC
rnacentral:rRNA from 1 species